AAGCCCCGGCACCGCCACGGUGCUCCUUCAAAUUUGCAUUUUGCUGUGCUUACACCUCCUGGGCUC
rnacentral:tRNA from 1 species